CCUACGGGUGGCUGCAGUGGGGAAUAUUGCGCAAUGGGCGAAAGCCUGACGCAGCGACGCCGCGUGAAUGACGAAGGCCUUCGGGUCGUAAAGCUCUUUCGACAGGGAAGAAAAUGCAUACAAGUAACUGGGUAUGUAUUGACGGUACCUGUAUAAGCAGCCCCGGCUAACUCCGUGCCAGCAGCCGCGGUAAUACGGAGGGGGCGAGCGUUGUUCGGAGUGACUGGGCGUAAAGAGCACGUAGGCGGUGUUGUAAGUCAUUAGUCAAAGACUAGAGCUCAACUUUAGUAAGGCUAGUGAUACUGUAAGACUAGAGUAUCAGAGAGGAUGGCAGAAUUCCUGGUGUAGCGGUGAAAUGCGUAGAUAUCAGGAGGAAUACCGUUAGCGAAGGCGGCAAUCUGGCUGGAAACUGACGCUGAGGUGCGAAAGCGUGGGUAGCAAACAGGAUUAGAUACCCCAGUAGUC
rnacentral:rRNA from 1 species